GUGCACGUGAUAAAUGGCUGUGAAGUGCGCACUCCCCGAGGAAAACCGUCAUUGGUGCCUGAUGCCGUGCCAACGCUUUUGCCAGGAUUCCUGAGCCAGUCAACAGCAGCUGGGCUGCGAGUGACAGUGUCAAGUGUGCUUUCUUUGCUUCAGUAUCUCACUGAGAAACUAGGCUACAGGUACCUAAUGACAUCUAGAGUAAGCCAAGAUCCUGUUGAGCAUGUUUUUGGCAUUGUCAGGCAGUCGUCUGGAUGUAACACGCACCCAACACCACAGCAGUUUAUUAGCACUAUCAACUGCUUGAGCUUCAACAAUCUUGCUCACUCAGCUUCAAAGGGAAACUGUGAGCCUGCAGUGCUCCAUGCCCUUCUACCCGCAAAUUCAGGUGCUGAAAAUGUUCCAUCUGGUAAACAGCGCUUAAUGGACAAGUUUAUAAACAGUGACAAUGUAGCUGCCGUGCAGAGCUCGCUCCCACAGAGUGCGCCAGACCAUGCGUCAUGCAUUAUAUCUGCCAGUGACAACCGGCUAACAUUUUAUAUAGCAGGAUAUGUAGCUAUAAAAUGCCUACUGAAGUCUGGCUGCGAAGAGUGCCAUAAACUUCUUCUAAUGCAAAAGGAGUCUGCUGAAAGUCUCAAACACCUUGCGCAAUUGACACACAUGAAAGACAGAGGUGGCCUGCUUUAUCCGUCUAGCCUGUUGUUUAAGUUUGUUCAUGAUUUAGAAAAAGCCUUCACAACGUGUUUCAGUUUGCUGGAGCUGCACGCUGAUAGCAUACUCGACAUUUUAAGCGAAGUUAAGGCAAA